AAAGCUGGGUGGGAGCCUAGUGCUCGCGGACCAGCUCCUGGAGGAGGAACGCGGCCUGGGGUCUGGGCCGCCGCUUGCUGCCGCCGCUGCUUGCUGCCGCCUCCGCUGCCGCCGCUGAGCCGGUUUUAACACAAGUAACAGCGCUACUUCUGAAGCAUUUGAGUCCUCCGCUCCUUCAGAAGAAAGGCGGCCCUUCCCUUAACCAAUCAGAUGAGUCCUUGCGGUCACCUGACAGCGGACACGCGUUCUCAUCGGGGGGGACUCUGCCGCCUUCUGGCCGCCGGCGCGGUGCUCGCCUCAGAUGUGGAAAGACCGAGAAGGCGCGUCCCGACCUGGGGAGCGUGCGGAUUCUGACAGGACUGUCGCCGGCGCUGGAGGUGUUGCCGCAGUCGUGGAUAUGUGGAUACGCAUUUCCCUCAUGUUAAAGCACUUUGUCCUACGGCAAUAGCAGCUUGCACGUGGAUGCCGCCUUCCAGCAGACCCUCUGGAGCGUGGCCCCCAUCAGCUCAGGAAGCGAAGCAGCCAAGGGUAUCUCAUCGGCAGUGACAUCCUCAGGUUGCUUCAUG